CACGUAGGGCGCAAGCGUUGUCCGGAAUUAUUGGGCGUAAAGAGCUCGUAGGCGGACUGUCACGUCUGCUGUGAAAAGCUGGGGCUUAACCCUGGCCUUGCAGUGGAUACGGGCAGACUAGAGGUAGGUAGGGGAGAAUGGAAUUCCCGGUGUAGCGGUGAAAUGCGCAGAUAUCGGGAGGAACACCAAUGGCGAAGGCAGCUCGCUGGGACGGUACUGACGCUGAGGCGCGAAAGCGUGGGGAGCGAACAGG
rnacentral:rRNA from 1 species